UUUUAAUUCUUCAGCUAAAACAGCAGAAGGGAUGAUUUAUUUUACACAAUUGAGAAACGAGUUAGUCCAGAAUGCCCAAGUUCCCAGGCAAAGAACCAGUGGGGGAUGCUAUGAGCAAGGUGGGUCUUCUCUCAGUGGUGGUCUUGGUGACAGGAUGGCAAUGUAGGUUCUACAUCCACCGAGACAGAAUCUGGGGAGUAUCAGGCAGUCAACAACUCAUACAAACAUCCUGGCCUCUGGCAGUCCUUAUUUUUGCUCCUUUGGCCUCCAUGGUGUACAAGCUAUUUUACUUAGACCUCUGCUUCAUCUUUCUGCUUUUGCUUUUCGGCCUAUGCAUUUGCUUCUUCCUCCACUUAGCUCUCAUGAUGCAGAGGUUUCCAAGAUGAUGGUGCUAAGGCCAAGAGUGGGUACCUUAAAUUUCUUUCAGCAAACCUUACUGAGAUGGGCUCUAACAGUGGUAAAGGCCAGAUGGCCUUCCUCCCUCCUGUGAGGGCCUGGGUGAAUUAAUUACUCUCUCUGGUAUCAGUAAUAGGGUUACUGACUACUUUGAGGAUAACUGUGAAAUUAAAGAUCUGUCGAGAUAUAGAACAUACAACACUGAACAUGGGGUGCAUGUUAGCUGCUGUCAUUGUUAAAGGCACCUGUUUCCCCACCUCCAUGUGGAGUCUCUUGGUGCAGGAAAUGGCAUCUGCAUCCUUCCAGUGGCUUAGGCCCAGUACUCCUG
rnacentral:lncRNA from 1 species